rnacentral:rRNA from 1 species
ACUAUGUAUGGCUGUUAACAUCGAGGGCCCGAUACUCAGACCCUCCGCCCGGGGACUACGAGCAUUAGCUUAAAACCCAAAGGACUUGGCGGUGCUUUACCCCC